ACACAAACAGUGACCCCUGCUGGAGGGUUGGGGAAUCACAACACAUCAAUCCGAAAACUCGUUUUUAACAGAUUAGGAUUCAGACAUUUAAGUAACUUUUUUGAGGUAAUCCUCCCAUCAGCUAUUUUACUUUUCAUUAACAUAAAGUUCUCCUGGAUCAGAAAAAUAAUAGUCAUUAUUAAUCUUUGAAGAAAUCUGGCAUUUUCCACGUAGACGCGUGAGUAUCAACAGUUUGAGAGUGAUUUUUAAAUGUGGCCCGAUACCGGGUCGGAACCCAGCUGUGUGACUGCAGGUUCGGUGUGAAUGUUUGAACUGGACCCUGAAGACAGGAGAGGAACUCAGAGACAGUCUGCGCAGCUCUGAUUGCUGGUUCACUGUAACGUUAGUGUGCAGAGAACAAUCAAAGUCCAGGGGCCUCACACUGUAAAAAAAACUGUAAAAAACCUGUAAAAAAAAAACCGGGUAAAUGUAAAGUAGAAAUUUGAGGGAAUUUUUCCGUUUUACAGGUAUUUGUACCGUAUUUUCCAUUUUACGCAUUGCAUCAUGGGAACAAGAACCUUCGCGAAGCGCGAAACCUGGUGAGACGACAUUUCAAGCUCGCUAACCCUGGAACAUUUAUCUUUUGGACUUCAGUUGGAUUAAGAGACGGAGUUUCCUUUCUGCCACCUCCCUGCUGCAUCCAGACACUCCUGAACUUUUCCUGGAAAGCAACUAGGCAUCUUUAAAAUAGAGAUUUUCUGGGCUCAAAUCCUGAACGAGGUCGACUGACACGAUGCAGACGAAGGUGAAGAAGCAGCUUUGCAUCCCAACCAGAUGGUUCAAGUCCUGAAUGAACUGAAUGACUGGGAAUCCAUGGAAAAUUUGAGCCUUUUGAAGUUUAAACGUGAUGGAUCAUCUCAUCAAACCUGGUGCACCAAGAACUGGUCACAGAACAUUUCAAGCUCUUGGUAACUGGACCUAAGAGUUGGAUUAACCUUUUUUUGCAGAACAUAAACAUUAAAUGGACUGUUUUGUUUUAUGUUCACAGCGACUAGAGGUAAUGAGAGAACACACUCAGGAAUCCAGUGUCUUCCACUGUUGGUUAGGCUGUUUUUAUGUAUCAUUUGAUUUUUAGCUAAAUAUUUAUACCUGUAUUUCAUAAAAAUAGUGGUUGACUUUCGGCAUUUAUUUUGAAGUAUGUUGGUCCUGUUAACAACUAUGAUUUUCAUGAUCCAAAGCAAUUUUUUGUAUGUUCCAUCUUAUAGUAACUAACAAAACUGUUUGACUACAAAGACUAGAGUCAAGAUUGCUUUACAUUUAAUUUAUACGUUGAAAUUUGUAUAGUAAAAUCCAAUAAAUUAGCUUAUGAUGUACAGAAGAUAAACAUUAGCAAGCUCAAGAAUAUGUUUAACUCUUAAUAUAUAAUAGCAAAGGUUAGUUAUAAAGACUAGAUGACGUCAAUUUAUGGUCUUAAAUUGCUAAAUAAAAUCUGCWAAUUGUCGAAUGGUUUUAUUUUUAUAUCACUUUGCAUGAACUACUUUCAAACUAAGUGUUUCGUGUUCAACUACAUUUCCUGUAGACUUAGAAUUUAGUUUCAAUAUAUAUAUAAUUAAUAUAUGGUAUAGAUUACAGACUUCAAUGGUUUGGAAGACAAAAGUAUUUGGAAAUGUCCAAGGCUUUUAAAAAAAGUUUGAAUAUAUCACAAC